rnacentral:tRNA from 1 species
GCGGGUAUAGCUCAGUGGUAGAGCACAUGCUUAGCGUGCAUGAGGUACUGGGUACUGGGUUCAAUCCCCAGUACCUCCA